AGCAGCCGCGGUAAUUCCAGCUCCAAUAGCGUAUAUUAAAGUUGUUGCAGUUAAAAAGCUCGUAGUUGAAUUUCGGGAUCAAUGGGUUGGUCAUGCCCUCGGUAUGUACUGAUUUCAUUGGUUCUCACCUUCUAAGGAACCAUGAUGUCAUUCGUUUGAUGUUGUGGGGAAUUAGGACUGUUACCUUGAAAAAUUAGAGUGUUUAAAGCAGGCUAACGCUUGAAUACAUUAGCAUGGAAUAAUGAAAUAGGACAUCCGAUUCUAUUUUGUUGGUUUCUAGGAUCGAUGUAAUGAUUAAUAGGGAUAGUUGGGGGCAUUAGUAUUCAAUUGUCAGAGGUGAAAUUCUUGGAUUUAUUGAAGACUAACUACUGCGAAAGCAUUUGCCCAAGGAUGUUUUCAUUAAUCAAGAACGAAAGUUAGGGGAUCGAAGACGAUCAGAUACCGUCGUAGUCUUAACCAUAAACUAUGCCGACUAGGGAUCGGAUGAUGCUUAUUUUUAAUGACUCUA
rnacentral:rRNA from 1 species